CUGUGAGUGUCUCCAACACGUUGCAGCCUGUUUGCUCAGCCUGAUAAUGUCUUCACAUAGGACUUAAUGAACUCAUUACCCUUAAUGCCAUCGUAACAAGAGAGCUUGAUUAAUUAAGGGAGACCUGGAAAUGGCAACUUCAAAGCUGGUAGAAAAACUCAGAAUCUGCUCAGGAAUAAUGGUUACUGUGAAGGCGUUCUCUUUAACAGUGACUUUCUCACUACUUUACUUCAGUACAAAGAAAAUAAAAGCUGGGAGACAAAGGAAAACCUUCUUCUAUCAACCACGUAGGUAAGCAAAGGCUUUGGUCAUCUCCUCUCCGAUAGCUUUAAAAGACCCCACAUCUAUGACCGUGACCCUCUGAACUACCCAGCAGCUGUGAAGCCAGCCGGAGCCAUGCCACUGACCCUAUCACCAGCAGCCUGUGCCAUUCAAGUGACUGCUGAAGAAGAGCAAAUUCGCAUUAUGUCUGAAAGCAAAUGAAAGCUGUGGGUCCUCUGUUUCACAUGAAACCACCUCUGAGGAGCUCCGGGCAGAGCGGAGGCUGCGUUCGUUGGUUGCUCUUUGCGUUAAUGACUCCUCUGACAGAAACUGGAUCCUGAAAUGCAAAGAUUGGAAAUGAAAGGGGACAUAAUCUAAAAAAUUGUUGUUUCGAAUAUAUGUCAAAAUUGGAUUUGCAUUUCAAAAACCUGUGCCAAAACCCUUUUGUACCUUUUGUUUUCAUUUGUCCUUUAACGAAAGAGGGUUCCGUUGGGCUGCUGGGGCUUUUAAAGCUGGAACCGUUGUUUCCAGGCAGACCAACAGCAGGAUCUCCAUUUGUUGAGAUGCACCCGUUUAGAUACGACAUCAAUUUAAUUUAUUUGUAUCGAUUUUGGCAAAUCAAAUCUAAAUGCACCCUAUUUUUUUUCAAACGUGAAUGUAUUUCUCCAAGUGAAGCAGCACUUCUUUUCUUACAACUUAAGAAAUGUUUUUCAGCUUUGUUUGUUCAUCCGUAACUUUACACAGUCAUCCACCGAUUAGCCCAGCUGAAUCCUGGUGUGUUUGUCUGACGAAUGACUGCUUAAACAGAAUUCUUUCUCCAAGUUGUUACUAAAAAGAGAAUCUCAUACUUGCAGAGCGUAUCUCUGAUACGAUGCUCACUCGUUUACAUCUUACUCCUGAAACCAGUAACGCAAUUUUACUUCCCCUCAG
ensembl:lncRNA